UACGUAGGCAGCGAGCGUUGUUCGGAAUUACUGGGCGUAAAGCGUGCGCAGGCGGUUAUGUAAGACAGAUGUGAAAUCCCCGGGCUCAACCUGGGAACUGCAUUUGUGACUGCAUAGCGUAGAGUACGGUAGAGGGGGAUGGAAUUCCGCGUGUAGCAGUGAAAUGCGUAGAUAUGCGGAGGAACACCGAUGGCGAAGGCAAUCCCCUGGACCUGUACUG
rnacentral:rRNA from 1 species